AAUGGAUUUUUAUCUGAGAUCCACCACUUAUGAAGAAUAUAAGUGAUGUAUAUUCUUUUCUACUCUCCAUGUAUGGAACAGAGGGGCUUGCACAGUAGUGAGAAAAAAAUGGCUUAGACCCACAGGAACAAAACAGGACAGGAGUUAGAUGCCAAGACAUUUCAACAAAAGUUUGGAAAAUAUGCUAUUGGUGGCAUAUGAGUCACAGACAGAAUAUUGGCACCUUUGCUUAAGAAAAUGAAUGUUAAUGUCACAUCUGCCUUUGGAGAUUACAAAUGAAAUGGCUACCUUUCUAGUGGAACCCUAACCAGAAGCCUACCA